GAACGGCAGCACGGGGGCAACCCUGGUGGCGAGUGGCGAACGGGUGAGUAAUACAUCGGAACGUGUCCUGUAGUGGGGGAUAGCCCGGCGAAAGCCGGAUUAAUACCGCAUACGAUCUACGGAAGAAAGCGGGGGAUCGCAAGACCUCGCGCUGCAGGGGCGGCCGAUGGCAGAUUAGCUAGUUGGUGGGGUAAAGGCCUACCAAGGCGACGAUCUGUAGCUGGUCUGAGAGGACGACCAGCCACACUGGGACUGAGACACGGCCCAGACUCCUACGGGAGGCAGCAGUGGGGAAUUUUGGACAAUGGGGGCAACCCUGAUCCAGCAAUGCCGCGUGUGUGAAGAAGGCCUUCGGGUUGUAAAGCACUUUUGUCCGGAAAGAAAACGUCUUGGUUAAUACCUGAGGCGGAUGACGGUACCGGAAGAAUAAGCACCGGCUAACUACGUG
rnacentral:rRNA from 1 species